rnacentral:rRNA from 1 species
AUACGGAGGACGCGAGCGUUAUCCGGAUUCAUUGGGUUUAAAGGGUGCGCAGGCGGCCGUGCAAGUCAGCGGUGAAAGCCCGGGGCUCAACCCCGGAAGUGCCGUUGAUACUGCAUGGCUGGAAUGCGGUCGAGGCGGGCGGAACGUGGCGGGUAGCGGGGAAAAGCGUAGAUAUGCCACAGAACGCCGAUAGCGGAGGCAGCUCGCCAGGCCUGCAUUGACGCUCGGGCACGAAAGCGUGGGGAUCGAACAGGAUUAGAUACCCUGGUAGUCCACGCCGUAAACGAUGGGCGCUCGUCGUCGGCGGCAGACAGUCGGCGGCCAAGCGAAAGCGAUAAGCGCCCCACCUGGGGAGUACGGUCGCAAGGCUGAAACUUAAAUGAAUUGACGGGG